rnacentral:rRNA from 1 species
GACAGAGGUUGCAAGCGUUGCUCGGAAUCACUGGGCGUAAAGGGCGUGUAGGCGGGUAGGUAAGUCAGAUGUGAAAUCCCUGGGCUCAACCCAGGAACUGCAUUUGAAACUCCCUUUCUUGAGUGUCGGAGAGGAAAGUGGAAUUCCUGGUGUAGAGGUGAAAUUCGUAGAUAUCGAGAGGAACACCGGUGGCGAAGGCGGCCUUCUGGACAGUGACUGACGCUGAGACGCGAAAGCGUGGGGAGCAAACGGG